rnacentral:rRNA from 1 species
UACGUAGGGUGCAAGCGUUGUCCGGAAUUAUUGGGCGUAAAGAGCUCGUAGGCGGUUUGUCACGUCGGAUGUGAAACCCUGAGGCUCAACCUCAGGCCUGCAUUCGAUACGGGCAGACUAGAAUUCGGCAGGGGAGACUGGGAAUUCCUGGUGUAGCGGUGAAAUGCGCAGAUAUCAGGAGGAACACCGGUGGCGAAGGCGGGUCUCUGGGCCGAUAUUGACGCUGAGGAGCGAAAGCGUGGGGGAGCAAAACAGGA